AAAUUUGGGAGGUUUGGGGUUUAAAUUUGGGAGUUUUAGGGUUAAAAUUUGGGCGUUUUUAGGGUUAAAAUUCAGGAAUUUAAGGGUUAAAAAUUCAGGGUGUUGGAGGCAAAAUUUGGGGGUUUUAGGGUUAAAAUCUGGGGGAUUUAUGGCCAAAAUUUUGGGGUUUAGUUCCAAAUUUUGCGAGUUUUAGGGUUAAAAUUUCAGGGGUUUAGGACCAAAAAUUUGGGAAUUUUAGGGUUAAAAUUUGGGGGAUUUAUGGCCAAAAUUCCACAUUUUUGCUCCCAAAUUCUGGAGUUUCAACACUGAAAAUUUCGGCAUUUUAGCCCCAAAAUUCCAGAAUUGUAACCCCAAAAUUCCGGAGUUUCAGCUCAAAAUUUCCGGGGUUUUAGGGCCAAAAUUCCGGCCCCAAAAUAGCACAAUUUUAACUGAAAAUUUCGGCGUUUUAGCCCCAAAAUUCCGGAUUUUCAACCCCAAAAAUUCCAAAAUUUCACUGCCUGGGGAUGAAUCCCGAACCCUCCCAAAAAUUCACACCUGGACACCCCAAAAUUUCAUCUGGGGACCCCAAAAAUUCACCUGG
rnacentral:lncRNA from 1 species